GUCUCCGUAGAUUAGUGGUUAGAUCGCAACGUUGUGGAUACACAAUUCCGUUGUAACGCGUGUUCGACUCACGCCGGGGACA
rnacentral:tRNA from 1 species